rnacentral:lncRNA from 1 species
UAGGGGAGCGUGUGAGGCGGACAUUGCCGGAAAAAGAAAAAAAAACGAUUCAUGGUGUACAUACAUAUACGCACCCGUAUUGUAUGUAUCAUUUGCAUCACGCAGCACAAAAGGCAGCAUCUCCUUGUUUAUGUAUAGCACAGGAGCCUGCUGGAAUCACCUGGGAUGUAUAUAACACACAGGGUGGAAGAUAGAGAGACCCUAUGAUAUUCGCUUCCUGUCAGUUGAGCUCGGCUUUGUUCGUCAUUUCGACUGUUUCUGUUGUGCUGUGCAGCGCGGAACUAGCGUUUAACGUGGCCAGUCGUUUUGUUGUUUGGUCAAUUGUUGUUGUUGUUGUUUUUUUUAUCGCUUAUGAAUAAGUCGAUACGGGUCGAGGCCUAUUAAACUAUGGAAUAUCAUUAGAAUAAGAAACAAGUUGCCGACGAAUGCAAAAGUGCGGAAGCUUUCACUGUUCUAUCCCCUUUUCCGUGUGUAAUUGGCGUUCACUAGGUUUCGAUCCUUUCAAACAGAAAAGAGUUUCGUUGUUCACGGUGAAAACGAUGCAAUUGUAUCAGAAAGGAAAACACAAAAGACAAAAAAGACAGACGAGAUAACAACGGCAGAAAACGGCGGAAGAUGAGAUAAUAUGAAGGAAAGAGGAAAGAAUUAAAGCGGCAUAGCUCAAAGGAGUUGGACAGUUAUGCAGCCGACCAAACGCCAGUUCAUUUUCGGCCUUUUUUUUCUUUCUUUCUUUCUUCUUUCCUUUUGCUGUACACAGUCAGAAAGAGAAACAUAAUCAUUUCCAUCGGUUUUCGGUUGUUGUUGUUUGCCGUGUCGUUGUGUUCCUCUUACUCAUUCCCGCUUCUCGUUUAAUCGAACGACGUAUAUGUAUACGUAACAAAACGAGAAAAAGGAGAGUAUCUAACAAUGAACAGAGUUUCAAAAGAGAAAGAGGAAAUGAGACCACCCAUUCAUUUUGGAAUUCCAUUUUUUGUUUUUUGUUUUUCAUUAAUUUUUUUCUUAUUCUCAUUUCUCGAGUGGGGGAUCAGGACAACGAUCUUUAUAUUCAGAAAAGAAGGUGGUACGCUUUAAUACCGGGAUGAAUGUGGCAUUUGCAGCGCAAUAAAACAAUGAGGAACAACUGCAAUUUCCGGUGAAAUGCGGUUCAAUUCAGGCGCAAUUGAUCGUGUUUGGCUUUUAUAAAGUCGUCGUUGAACAUCAAGUCUCUUUGAGGCGUCACACAGGAUGGACAGAACCACGGAAUCUCCUUCAAAUUCAAAGGGGUUGAGCUGAAACCACUCGGAUUCCGGUUUCAUUGAAAAACGAUCGAUGGGCGGGGAAACUCAUAUUUUAUUCGGAAUCAGCGUUUAAUUAUAUAUUUUAUAGGAGGUUAGAUUUCAUCAAAUACCAAUCCACAAUUUUAAGUUCAACUCAAAAAGGCAUAGAGAAAGAAAAAAGAAGAGGGAAGUGGAUCUAUUGAAAUCUAACCGACACCAUGAAGCGAGUUGGCCAUCUACCACAGACCUACUACGAAGAAACGACGACGACGACUUGAUGGAUCGUAAAAACAUCUUUGGCCGAUGUGUCUCUCUUCUUCUUCUUCUUCUUGGCUCUCUCAAUCCGUUUAUGUUCACCUGGACAUUUUCUUCAGCGUCUCCUAUGUCGCAAGGAAAUUGACAUAUAGUCUGUGUGUGUGUGAUUCUGUGAAAGAUGGAUGCGUCCCCUACCCUCUUCUUUCUAGUGAAAAAUAAUAACAACAUAGAGACACACACAAUACGCUGGUUGGAUAUGUAGAAGAGAGAGAGACAAGUGGGUCCCACUCUCCAAUGUGUUCGACCUCUUGGCUCACAAGAGAUUGAUCCACUACGUAAGGUGCUGCGACAGCGUCACAUCGAGCUGGGCGGGCUCAUAAAAAAUAAAAAGGAGAAAGAAAAAAAUAUAUACACAACAGAGCAGAGGGGGGUUUAUAAAUGUAUAGGCAAUCUUCUUCUUAAAAAAAAAAAAGGAGGAUCACCUCCGUCACUAGCAACCACACACACAGACAAGAUACCCAAAGACAAAAAAAAAAGAAAAGAAAGAAUAAUACCUCCUUCUCCAUUUCGGUUACCUCAAAUUGACAAACAAGUUUCCUUCUCCAGUUGGUCGACGGAUGACAUCCUUCUCUUUUUUUUAUUUUUUAUUUUUUUUUUUGCUUUUGGGCCCGGCCCUUAUUAUCGUCUUUCUUCUUUUAGCUCUUGUUGGUCGACUCUCAUCUCUCAAGUUGUUCUUAAAAAAAAAAAAAAGAAAAGAAAUAAUUCCUUAUCAGUUUAAAAAGAUCGACUAGGAAAUUGAAAUAUGUCUGUCGCAGACAUUCUUCUGCCUGUUCUUCUUCUUUGUUGCACAAGUUUUGUUUUCACGUGCCUGUUGAGAGGGCGAGUAUAGCCAGUGAGGGGUUACCAUCUUACGUAUACAGAAUGUUUCAUCAGGAAUAGAUGGAUUGAAACAAGAGGAAAACAUUAUCGGAAAUAUGUCCCAUAUAACUCUUUUAAAACGGUUCACAUUUCCAUCAAAAGAAAUGCUCUGUACGGCAAUCGAAAACUGACAGGCAUUUAGCAAUAAAAACAUUUUGAAUUUCUUCGUAUGUAUCGGAGGAGAUCAAGAACUCACCUCCAUCUUUGUUUAUUGCUUAAGUUUUUCUUUCUUUUCUUGAAUACGUAUACAAGAUCCCGUUCUUGGUAUUAGCGCAAUACACCGACAGUUAUACUUGAUUAAAUUCCUAUGGUAUCAGAGAAUGCACGUCGGGAUUGAAUGUACGGUAACCUGUUGUUAUAUACAUGGCCAUGAAACUUAACAUCCCAAACGAAGAGCGCUAUCAUCGAAAACUAUGCGUUAACAGCCAAUUAUAAUUUCCAAGUCCUACACAUCCGGACGUGCGUGAUUCCCGGUCUAAAAUCAAGUUGGACAACAAGUUUCAUAGAUAUACGUCUCCAUCAGGAGCGCAGUUGGAGAAGGUGUGGCCGCGGGAUGUUGUUUACCAUUCGCGCACACGAAGAUUGUGGCCAAUUUAUGGAAAAAGCCAACAAUAAAAAAUGGGGAAAAAAAGGAGAUCUCCUCUUUAUCCCUCGUUUAUUUUGUUGUGGAAAGGCCAUAGUCAACGUGUGUGUCUCACGGAUGCGCACGCGUCAAACUCCAUUAGACAUUCACAUGGACAACUGAGGCCCUGCCCCGUGAGUUCCGAACGAUUUCCCUCACGUCGCUUCGUGCUGGCAGUCAUCCUAUGUGGUCGAGUCGAUGUGGUGUUCGUUUUGGCUUUUUCCGAAUUGGCGAAUGCUGGAAAAGCCGCUAAUUUACCGAAAGGCUUGUUGGCAAUGCAGAGAAUGAACCACCAAAGGAGAAAAACGAGUGAACCUCCUUGGGCUUUUUGAUAGAUGUUUCACCGGAAUCAAGUCUUUUUGAUUGGAAAAUGAAUAUGAAAAAAAAAAAAAAAAUAUAUAAGCACAUGACCAUCACCGUAGUAAAUUUUCUUCGCCCACCAGUUCAAAGUGUAAAUGAUGUACGAAAAACAAAAAAAUUGCCUUUGACAGUUGCCAUUGUGAACAUUUUGUUUUAUUUUAUUACAAAAGCUGCUGCAUUUCUAAUUACAGGAUUUCUUUCGAGUUCAUUUCUUCUAUUCCCUUUUUUAUUUAAAUAUUAUUAUUCAUAAUAAAUCCAGUUUUUUUUGUGUGUGUUGGGUUUCCAACUGCUAUUAUAUCUCUUAGCCAAAAAGUAUAUGAAUAAAUAAAAAUGCCGCAGAA